GCCUGUCUGUGCUGGUUGGUUUCAAUUCAUUGCCAUCUAAUCUCCAAGCUUUGGUUACAAAAUAGGAAGCAUGUGUUAGCAGAAGCUCAGGGGCCCUGUACCAGAAUGUCACCACGACGGGGUCAAGGUCUGCCAGGGGUUUGAGAGGAGAGUUGAAGAGUCUGGCGAAGCCCAUGUCAGCUAAAACGAAGCAAGAUUGCAGCUGCCCUAGGGGACAUUUUACUGGACUGAGUAAAUAAAAACUCUGACUCAGCCAUUUCAUGGGAUCAAGAUGAGAUUAUAUCUAUGUAGAUUCUGGUUUUCUGCUCCGCAUAACACCCAGUGUGUCAAUUAACGACUGCAGCAAUUACCAUCAAAAGGUCACGGUUUAUGGACUUCCGUCAUUGUAAAAAAUGAUUUGUUCUUAAGUGACUUGCCUUGUUAAAUAAAGGUUACACACACAAUCUGCUAGAUCCAUAAAACAUAAAAGUAUUGUGCAAUCAAUAUUUUGUGAAAGUGCUGUACAUCCCAAUGUAUACGUUUCCUGUUUCAAAUCUACUUAUCAAACCUGUUUGUCUGUCAAAAUCAGAAACAGCCAAAGAUAUGUCCAAAGAAAAGACAUUAAAAGAAAAGACAUUAAAAAUAAUGUGGCCUUGACCAUUGCACAGAACCCUCAUUGUGAAUGUGUGGCAAGAAUAUAAGAACAGCGCAGUUGUCCGUGGCCUGUUCUGGGAAAAAUGGGUCAUGUUUUUCAACAGCUUCACAGGGAAAGCUCUGGCUGGAUGUGGGCCAAAUGUUAGCACAGCCUCUGUUGUCAGGACAGC